UACAGAGGUGGCAAGCGUUGUUCGGAAUUACUGGGCGUAAAGGGCGCGUAGGCGGUUCGUUAAGUCCUGUGUGAAAUCCCCCGGCUCAACUGGGGAACUGCACAGGAAACUAGCGGGCUUGAGCUCGGGAGAGGGAAGCGGAAUUCCGGGUGUAGCGGUGAAAUGCGUAGAUAUCCGGAGGAACACCGGUGGCGAAGGCGGCUUCCUGGACCGACACUGACGCUGAGGCGCGAAAGCUAGGGGAGCGAACGGG
rnacentral:rRNA from 1 species